rnacentral:rRNA from 1 species
UACAGAGGGGGCAAGCGUUGUUCGGAAUUACUGGGCGUAAAGGGCGCGUAGGCGGCCCGCUAAGUCGAACGUGAAAUCCCCGAGCUCAACUCGGGAACUGCGUCCGAUACUGGUGGGCUUGAAUCCGGGAGAGGGAUGCGGAAUUCCAGGUGUAGCGGUGAAAUGCGUAGAUAUCUGGAGGAACACCGGUGGCGAAGGCGGCAUCCUGGACCGGCAUUGACGCUGAGGCGCGAAAAGCUAGGGGGAGCAAAACGGGG